rnacentral:tRNA from 1 species
GGCCAAAGGACUCAGUCAGUUAGAGUGUGGUGCUGGUAACACCAAGGUCACGGGUUUGAUUCCCGCUUGGUCCC